AUAAGUCGUAACAAGGUUUCCGUAGGUGAACCUGCGGAAGGAUCAUUG
rnacentral:rRNA from 1 species